rnacentral:tRNA from 11 species
GCAGGGGUGGUGGAAUGGUAGACACGCUGUCUUGAGGGGGCAGUGGGAGUAAUCCCGUAAGAGUUCAAGUCUCUUUCUCUGCACCA